rfam:Paenibacillus wynnii strain DSM 18334 unitig_3_1r, whole genome shotgun sequence.
UAACCUUGUUUGUGAAAGCAGGAUGAACGUACAGAAGUCAGCAGACGCCAUAGUACGCAAGUUGUUGCAACAGCUGCGGAAGGGC